GCCGGGUGUGGUGGCACACACCUGUAAUCCCAGCUACUCAGGAGGCUGAGGCAGGAGAAUUGCUUGAACCCGGGAGGCAGAGGUUGCAGUGAGCUGAGAUUGCGCCACUGCACUGCAGCCUGGGUGACAGAGUGAGACUCUGUCUCAA
rnacentral:SRP_RNA from 1 species